CUUACCAUCGGGAGGGCGCUUACCACUUUGUGAUUCAUGACUGGGGUGAAGUCGUAACAAGGUAACCGUAGGGGAACCUGCGGUUGGAUCACCUCCUUACCUAAAGA
rnacentral:rRNA from 1 species